AUUGAACGCUGGCGGCAGGCUUAACACAUGCAAGUCGAACGAGUGGCGGACGGGUGAGUAAUAUGUGGGAAUGUACCUUAUGGAGGGGUAUAACUACGGGAAAGUGUAUCUAAUACCGCAUACUAUGGUAGGCGCCCAUGUGGUAUUAGGGAGUUGGUGGGGUAAAGGCUCACCAAGCCGACGAUCUCUAGCUGGUCUGAGAGGAUGACCAGCCACACUGGGACUGAGACACGGCCCAGACUCCUACGGGAGGCAGCAGUGGGGAAUAUUGCGCAAUGGGGGCAACCUGACGCAGCCAUGCCGCGUGUAUGAAGAAGGCCUUAGGGUUGUAAAGUUCUUUCGGUAGACAGGCGUUAACGACAGAAGAAGCACCGGCUAACUCCGUGCCAGCAGCCGCGGUAAUAC
rnacentral:rRNA from 1 species